UUCAUUCCUUCCUUGUUUUGCUGGUGCGUUUUGUCCAAUUCUUUGUUCAAGAUGCCAAGAACCUGGACACCCUCCACCGGUGACACAGCCAUGUGGAACUGUCUCAGACUUUGUGAAAUUACAUGCUAACUUGCAGACAUUUUUGUCUGGUGGAGAUGCAAAUGAUUUCUGUCUGAGAGAAAAGCCCCAAGACUCACCCAGAAGCAGAAGAUGG
rnacentral:lncRNA from 10 species